GCACCUUUUCUUCUGGAGCACUUGACACCUCAUCCAUCUCUGUGGUGACUUGAGUGGUCGCUUGGUGGUGGGUGGGUAGUUUAUCUAAGGUUGUAGACUGCAGGUUCUAGGCUAGACUGCCUUCUGUGCUUAGAGAGACCCAGAUUGUGUAUGGGAGGCACCUGACUGCUGGUGUUCCCUUGUCAGAUGUAAGCCCUAGGGAGCACUUGUUUUCCCCUGAGGGUGGAGUGAGUGAGUGCAUAUUGCACAUGGAAGUCUCGGCAUUCCCUGGGAAGGCAUCUCUUGUCAUUAUCCCUGUGACAUCUGACUGCUCUGAAGUAGUUUAUCGUCACAGGAGGGCAGAAGCAAGGCCCGGCUGCUCUUCUUCCAUAGUAGGUGGGCAGCCAUAUUUGAUCAAUGUUUUGUAUCCUGUGUUUUAUUUGGCCAAGGAAGGGAGCAAACAUCACCAGUCUUUUUUUUUUUUUUUUUUUUUUUCCAGAUGUUCAGAAUGUAUGUUUUUGGUGGGUGGGGAUAGGAGGUAGUUGUGACAGACCUAGGCCUUGUGCGUGCUAGGCUAAAAGCUCUGCUACUGAACUACACCCUCAGGCCUUUUUUUUGAGACAGGCUUCUGUAGGCCAUGAACCAGGUGACUCUUAGCAAUCCCAUAGUUUCCUGGCACAGUUGACUUUCUGACAGCUGACAGAUGGAGACACUGAAGCUUCCAGUGGUCUAUAGUUGAGGACUUCUAUCACUGGACUUGUAACCACUGACUUUCAGGCCUAGCCAGGACCUCCAGGCCUGUUGCAGGAAAGUUGCUGUGGGAGAGCAGGGUUAUUUGUUCUGGCUGGUGAAUUUGGGACUCACAGGCAGGAAGGGUUUCAGAGCUCCCUCCCUCUCUGGCUGACUGAAUGCAUUAGGCAGUGAACUGGAUGGUCAGGGUUCCUCCAGUCUUCUGGGGACCAAGAAUGCACUUUGCAUUCCAAAGCUAUUGCACAGCUUCUGGUGAAAACAAUUGUGUGAAUCCUCAUGCAGGUACAGAGAGGUGAUGGUGUCACUUAAACAGAAUCACAUCUCUUUCUUUUCUUUCUCCUUCUUUUCCUCUUUUCGAAGAACGGUAGUAAGCAAAGUUUUCGUGAGUGGAAAUGCUACUCCCUCCCUGAAAAAGUAGGACCACGCCGGGUGCUUCGGAUCCUCGCCUUACUUCUGUGCUUUGUUGACAGCAUCGUUGCUUUGUAUUGUUUUCCCUUCAGGUUAUUGUUGUUUGGUUGGUUUUGUUCUUUGUUUUUUGAGGUCUCAUGUAGCCUUAGCUGGCCUAUAGCUCACUGGACAGCUAAGGAUGACCUUGGAUUUCUGAUCCUCCUGACUCCUGAAUGCUGGGUUUUCAGGCAUUGUUACCACACCCACUUUGCGCAGUGAUAGGUAUCAAAUCCAGGGCAUUCUGCAUGAUUGGCAAGCAUUCUGCCAACUGAGCUACACACGUAGCUCCAUUUCCUGUACUUUUUCAAGAGUAAUUGAUGAUCGGUACUUUAUACUUUGAUUCAGAAGUGUUUAUUGACGGAGAAUCAAUACCAGAAGAGUGUGUUUGUGGUCAGCCUGAGGGUCCUGAUGUAUGUAUGGCAUGUGGUUGGGGUCCCUCCCAGAAGUGAAGAUUGGUGGCUGGAGGGCUCCUGAAAAGCAGUGGGAGCUGGAGUAUGCUGGACAGGUUUUUAAAUUUUUUAAGAUUUAUUCUUUGAAAUUUUUGUAAUUUAUAUAUGUUUGUUACUGACAGAUUCUUCACCUGCCAAGCGAGGCCUCUUUGGAUGUGCAGGCUUGGGAACUGGCAGGUGGACUUAAGCAGCACACCAAGAUGUCUGGUUUUGCAGGCUGAGGUGCCUGGCAGCCUUGUCACUUUCCUGUAAGGGGUUACUGCUGGCAUCCCCUGACCCUGGGCAUGGUUCUUUUCUGUUCUGUGUUUCCUCCAUAGUGGCGGCCUGGCACAGACUUCUUGAUAAACCUUGGAACCUUUCAGCUUCAUUAUCCCAGUAGUGUCCCUAGCUUCUGCCCACCAGGUGUAGGAGUAUCCCCAGAAUUCCUCCAGACAUUGCUAGGUUGCCUUGGAUACAAAGUCAGCAGAAUGAGGACCUCUGGACUGCAUGUUGCUCUAGGGGACUUGUUCUGUGUUUUUCAGAGCUCUGGGAAUGUAGUUCAAGAGACAUCCUCUUGUAUUCUGACUGCAACCUUUUUUUUCCUAUUGAAGUCUGUCUGGUGCCAGAUUGAAAGUGACAGACAGCCCUUUGUAGCAAGGGGAGACUAGGAUUUGUUGACCCAGCAUCAUAAACUUAGAUCCCAUUUGAAUUAUUUUUUAAGCUUUUUGUUGUUGUUAUAAAGGGAGAUUUUACUUCUUUAAAUUAGUCCACUGAAGAGAUCAUUCCAUUAAUAUUCUACUUUUUUCCCCUUUCAGAUAGCUGUAGCCUAGUGUUGUGCCACCUUCUCUGCUUGCCACCUAAAUCAGGUGACAAGUGUCAGGACCUGAAGAUAUUGGGGUAGCCGGCCCUGGACCCCAGCUUCUUCCUGAUCUCACCCUGGUAGUGUACCUUGAUCUCUUUGGAGUCCAGUCAGGUUCCCAGCUUCCACAGUUCUCUCAUACACAAGGACACUCGAGUGUACGUACACACACACACACACACACACACACACACACACACACACACAGAGCUGCUGAUGCUCUUCUGUGCUUUACAGAAACCUGGGUGUAGUAUUCUCAAGCAUAAUCUUUGGUGUCCUUGAAGCUUUUCUUAUAGAAAUACUUCCUUGCCCUUUCCUGCCUUGCAUUUGAUAACAGACUGAUUAACCAAAUACUGCUUUGGAAAUUCACAGCCUGAAUUAUCACAGAGAAAGUGUGAGUGCCCAGUACAUGACCUGUAUUAAACUUAUAGAGCAGUUUUGCAAACCUGAUGUUGGCUGGAUUGGGAGGACAUCAAGUGUGAGAGAUGCUAAUGACCAUAGAAGUGUGACUUGGGACAUGCACACACUACAUAUAUACACUAUAGCCACUAGGUGGUGGCUAUAAGGGAAUCAAACUUGAGCCAGCUGUUCUCAGUGGGCAGGCUGUGUGAUACUAAGGAUACUUGAUCCACUCUUUGCCCUCAUAGGUACUUAGAACAUUGUGAUUUUGCUCAUUUAUCAAACCCUGCCACCUUUCAACACUCUGUGAUCUGUCUGAAGCAGCCUCCUUUCUUUUCCUUUUAGACCCUGCCAUUUGUCAUCAGUGGGCCAGCCUGAGCUCCUUCUGUUCUUUAGGACAUGUGCCCUGAUGCUUAUGUCCUCUUCCCUCAGUCACCUUGUCUUUGAUUUGUCAGAUGUUUGAGUGAUGUGUGUCCUAUUGGCAUACCUCUGUCUGUCCUAAAGGUGGAUGCCUACUGAGUUUAGAAAGUGUAGUCUUGAAUUCCUUGAUAGCUGCCAGGUUUUGUUUUUUCAGAGUUAUUGAAUUAAACAGAUUUGAGUUAGGAAAACAAAGUACUUUGUAAUACAUAGUUCUCUGUGGUAGGCGGACCAUAUUUGAGGCACUGCUCUGCUGAGGCAAGGGUGGCAAGGGACUUGAGCGGGCAUAUCCAGGAGGCUGCAGUACUACUGUAAAGCCCGGGCCUUAGGGACAAGCCUUGGCCUUCGCUGUGAUAGCAGUUGUUGAUGAAUUUCCUAUCAGGCCUCAUGAGGACCCUCAGGUGUUAUGAAAGGUACUUGUGUAUUCUGUCCUCUUGGAAUUCAUACCCUGCCCAAGGAAAGCAUUUAACCAAUGAGUGUUAAAGAUAACCAAGAUGGGCGAUAUGGCUCAGCGGGUAAAGGCACCUGCUGACAAACAUAUGACCUGAUUUUGAUCCCUGGAAGCCUCGUGGUAGAAGAAGAAACCCAGUUCCUAAAAGUUGUAAUGUGACCUCUCUGUAUACACUCUGUGGCACUCAUGUCCUCCCACACAUGUACAGACAUAAAAAAUAACUUUUUAAAAAGAUCUCAGUGAAGCCAAAGUGAAGUUGGGUAGUGGAAGGGGACUGGGCUCCUUUGACUGACUGUCAGCCAGUGAUCCUGGAGAUAAUAGCUGGUGCUGUGAAGCCAAGUGGACUGUAAAGUCUCAGCUGACAGUGCCUCAGAAGGCACAUAGGCCAACAGGGUGAUAAUGACUGGGAUGACCUAGUCAGUAGUGUGCGGCCCUAGGCCUAGGAGAAAGGAGACUGACCAGCAUCUAUAGCUGGUGUGUGUAUCCAUCUGGGGACAUCCCAUGACUGCCACUAGUCUCAUGGGACUCAAUGUCACUGAGUUCAGGUUCUGCCAGUGGUGGUGUGUGGUGUGUAUUGCUACAGACUCUUUAGGCAUAGGAACCAUUCCUUUGAAAAUUUGAAAGGAAUUAUUUCCUGUUGUAACAACUAGUAACUGUCUGACAGAAUGUGACUGCAGGGAGAGAAUACUGACCUGGCUUUACAUGUCUGAUUGUGACCCUCUGGUGCUACCCAGCCAGGCUACCUUCCCUCUUAUCCUGUUUGUUGGUUUUGAGGCAAUGUCUCUGUAGUUCUGGCUGUCCUGUAACUUGCUUUGUAGACCAGGCUGCCUUUGAACUCAGAGAUCCACUUCUGGCUCCCAAGUAGUGAGAUUAAAGGCAUGCCCCGCCACACCCAGCCUCUUCUGCUGUCCUUUGAGAUACUCUUUCCUACUCUUCUGUCUUUUUAGACCUUUACCAGCCCAGUUGUCCUUGUGUAUCAUGACAGUUAUGGGUACCACAUGCCCUACAUUAACCCUAUAAGGCUUCUACUUGUGUUUCUUCCUGCUUUCCUAUUGCACUUGCCCAGCUCCCACCUUAUUGGGGUGGUCUGUUAGUAUGUAGACAGCAGCUAUUGCUGCUCUCUCCACCUUCUCCUCCUUUCCCCUUCAUACUGCUCUGCCACCCCUCUCCAGGUUUUCUUCAUUCCAUUCUGGGUGUCUAUAGGUACCUUUACUAUGUCUCCACAAUCUCAAAUCUUUUUUUUUUUUUUUUCUUUUUCCGGAGCUGGGGACCAAACCCAGGGCCUUGCGCUUGCUAGGCAAGCGCUUUACCACUGAGCUAAAUCCCCAACCCCAAUCUCAAAUCUUUUUGCUUGCUCUUUGGUGUCACUAGUUAACCUUGAGAGGUGGCCUUAGUGCUUGAUCUCAGGCUUCUGCCUCCAGCUAGGCUUCUUAAGUUCUCAUGUAGUGGCCAGCCACCCAGUGUAUGUUUCUUUGGUUAUCUGAGAGGUAGGUCAGGAGUGCCACUUGCAAAAUGAGCAAUAGAUUCUGGCCUUGAAGCCUCAGACCCACUACUUACCAUCCUAGUUGAAGACAGUCUCUUCUGGAUUUGUUCCAUGGCAGGCUACAGCCCCUAGGUUGUCUCCCUACCCUCUAAGCACACAUGGAGUCACACCUCCAAGUCUCCUGUCCUCUUGAUCUUUAAGAUCCUUAGUUAAUAGCAGCUGCUGGGAGACGGGCUUCAUGUCUAGGUGGAAGGGCUUCAUGUCUAGGUGGGAGGUAGAGAACACUGCUGUGCCUUCUGACCAGCUCUGCAGGGGGCCUUCCUUCCAGAAUUCCUGCAGAACAUUUAUAAACACAGACUGGCUACAUCUAGACUUACAGAACCUGGAGUACGUAGCCCACUUGUAGCUUAUUGUUGCCCACAUAACAUAAAGGUUUGUGGUCAUUUCUUACCCUGUUUUUGUUUUUAAAUUCCCAUUUGUUUGUUUUGAGAUAGUCUCUCUCUAUAUAGCUCUGGCUGUUCUGGAAGUUACCAUGUAGACCAGGCUGGCCUAAAACUCAGAGAUCUGCCUAACUCUGCCUCCUGAGUGCUGGGAUUAAGGGCUUGCACCUCUGCAUCCUCCUUAUUUAUUUACUAAUUUUUAAAGGUUUACUUGUAAUUAGAUGUGUGUCUGCAUGUAGGUAUGUGCUUAUGGGUGCAGAUGACUUGAGGAGGCCAGAGGUGUCGUCUCUGGAGCUAGAGUUGCACUUUGAGCUGCCUGGAGUGGGUGCCGGGAACCAAACUCCAGAUCCUCUAGGGCAACACAUGCUCUUAACCCUUGAACCAUGUCUCUAGCCUCCCAUCCCUUCCCUGUUUUGGUUUCUUUAUUAAAAACCAAAUUAUCAAUAAUAUAAUUCAACAGGAUUAUCUACACUUGUGAAUGUUUUCCUUUCUUUCUGUUAGGCGUCUCCUUUAGAAUAUGUUUCGGUCACUGCUGUGUCCUAGCACAUCCCAAGUACCUGGCACAGAGUCAUGAUAAACAGCCAUUGGCUAAAUGAAUUUCUCCAUUGUCUGGUUGGAAAAUUCCUUAAAACUUAGAGUCACUUUUGUUCACUUCUUGAAUUCCAGCAUGCUUUUCUAGGCAGGCAUGUCCCUUCUUUGUUUCCUAGAAUCAGUCUUCUAACCCACUCCUGCCUGAUUGCAACAUCGGCCUCCCUCCCGUCCAUACAGGUCGGAUAAAUUCCACCCUAGAGUCAACCAUCUCUGGACUCCGCAUUGGCUCAGCAGUUGCCCCCACUUCUGAGGGCCCUGGUGGCUCCUUUGGAGGGUUCCUUGCUUUCUUGUAGUUCUCUUUUCACCUUCAACUCCUGUGCCUGGGCCACCCCAUGGGCUGUGCUCAUGGUUGGUUCUCCUUUGUGACCUGUUUGCCUAUACUCAUUGCCUUGUUCCAGUGACUAGAAAUAAGUCAUCUGUCCCCUACCCUGCUCAUCUGUCCCCUACCCUGCUCAUCUUCAUCCCUGACAAUUAAAUGAUGUACUAAUACUGGCUCCUGUCUAGUUAUCCAGCGAGCAAAGUGUCACGUUCUCUCUCUCUCUCUCUCUCUCUGACAACUGUCUUUAAAGUAGCUUUUCCUCUGUUUUUGCUCAUAUUGUCCCUGGCCAUGCUGUUGCUAGGGCCACUGGGCAACCUUAUAGGGCUCAGACCCUUUGACCAUAUGUCCAUUCACAGGAACCUGCUAACAUAUCCUGGUGUCCAUCUUGACCUUUCGAAGCUAGUGACUUCUCUGUAGUCUUGAGGCACAUUCUUGUUUGACUUCCACAGUAGUUAAUUGCCCAGCUUUCCCAGGCUCACAGCCAACUCUCAUUCUUCAUUAUUAAACUAUCUGCAGAAUACUGGAACAGCACCCAAGCUUGACCCUGGUAGUUGGAUUCCUGGUGAUCACAUGAGUCUGUGGACUUAAAAGGGAUUAUCUAUCUACAUGGCUGAUGUGCCCUAGAACCCUGUUCUGGGAACCUGAAAAGCAUUACCUUGAACUCUGUAAGGUGCUUAGUUUAGCAUGGUUAAAAUGAAACAUUUUUUAAAUGAUUUUUAAAUUUUUAUUAUUAUGUGCAUUAGUGUUUUGCCUACAUGUAUGUCUGUGUCGGGUAUUGGAUGACCAGGAACUGGAGACAGUUGUGAGCUGCCUUGUGGGCGCUGAGAAUGGAACCUGGGUCUUCUGGAAGAGCAGCCAGCGCUGUUAACCACUGAACCAUCUCUCCAGCCCCUAAAGUGGAACUUCUAAAUCUCUGUGUUACUUUUGAAAGAGGGUCUUACAGUAUGGGUAGGAGAGAAACUCUUGAGAUUGCCAUCCCCUUACUCAACUGCCAACAGUUCACAGCUGCUGCUAGGGAAAAUAGAAUCAUUCUUCUUUAUAGGUGUGGUCUCUGGUAACCUAGGCUAGCCCUAACUCUUCAAUCUUACUGCCUUGGAUGCCUGAGUGCUAGGGUUUUUCGGGUUCUGCUAUCUUGGUUUAAGCUUUGAUCUAAUUGCCUUCUCCAAAACCAACUCCCACCUUCCUCCUACAAUAAAGGACAGCCCCUGGGUCCAGAAAUUUGGAGGAAGCUUGACCUUAACCCUGUUCCUACACCUGUUCUUCGAUAUAUUUUAUGAGCACCUGAGUGGGAACCUCCUACCCUGUCACUUGCUGCUGCCAUGUGUGGAUGGAUUGGUUUCAUCUCUGUCAAGUGGAUGUGGCCUCCCAGGUGGUUGCUCCUUCUACCUCUGCUCGUCAUAUCCUUUUGCAGAUAGCUAACAGUUCAUAGGCCAUAUGGUUUGCCUGGUGGUUCCAUAAGUAAAGGUCAAGAGUUUUAAGAGGAGUCAGCCCUGCUCUUCAUGAUGCCUUUCCUCUACUGCCACAACAACCUCUCUUCCUGCAGAUGUCCCUCAGCCCUCUGUUCUAUCUCCUGGAUUCUCAUUUGUGUCACCCACUGAAAUGGCAAUUCUGCUUCUUUCUGCCUUCUCCUCCUACAACCAGUACUUUAUCCACUGCACUGUGUUGCUCAUGGAAGCUCUGCUGAAGGGUAAAGGUAAUUCUAAGUAUUAUUCUGGCCAUUCUACCAGUGUAGUGGCACAAGGCUCAGAAAACAUCAAGAAGCACUCAUCAGCACACCACAGUAUGGUUACCUGCACAGGACCUGCAGAAGAUCGAAGACUCGGACUUCCAGCAUGGAUAGGGUAGAACUCUUGAGGUCCCAACUCCUUACUCAGGAGCCACUGGAGAUCAGUAGCUCCUGGGAAAGUAGAAGCAUUCUUUGUAGUUGUGGCCAUUGGUGGGUUUCCCACUCUCCAUUGGAUGGCCCAGCGCCCAUGCAUGUAUUGGCAGCACUUACUGGAUUUACUUGGUUAUGAGGGAUGAAAGAAGGAGGAAAAUUGAGAUGAGUGUAUUGUAUUGUAUUGUAUUGUAUUGUAUUGGGGGCUAAGGUCAGCGUGCAGUGGGAGGUGGCUAUGAUCUUAUUUCAUGUAUGCAUGUAAGAAGUCCUAUAGGAAUUUUAAAAGAGUAGUCCAGGCAGAGCAGGGGUCAUCUGCUGAAGGAUGAGUGUAUGGAUGAGUGAAGGAUGUCUAAGGAUGUGCAAUAUGAGUGGCUCAAACAGCAUCUGGAGAAGAGCGAGACAAAGCUAGUGAGGUGGGCAGCUGGGAAGGACCUUCAGUGGACCCUUUGCGGAGUCCUGAUUUCAUAUCGGAAGAACUCCAAACAUGCAAAUGUUUGUUAAUAUUCCCAGUCCUCAUCCCUCUCCAGAUAGAAGAUAGAUCUCUGACUCAUCCUAGCUGGGCAGGACCCUGUAGCAGGUUCUGGCCAAUGUGCUAUAGUCUCAUUUUCCAGGGCCAGGGCCUACAAUGGUCUGAUUCUCAAAGUCAUUCUGCUAGGAUGUCCGGCUUUACAGACCUUGGCUGCAAAUGAGAAAACAACCAAUACUUAAAAAGAAAGUACAGGGGCUGGGGAUUUAGCUCAGUGGUAGAGCGCUUACCUAGGAAGCGCAAGGCCCUGGGUUCGGUCCCCAGCUCCGAAAAAAAGAACAAAAAAAAAAAAAAAAAAAAAAGAAAAGAAAGUACAUCAGUGGUGGCCAGACGAGGAGAAAUAGAGUUAUAACAAUAUAAUUGUGAGCUUAAAAGCAUGUUUUGAAAAGAGAUUGUGAUAGUAAAUGCAGUUUUUUGUAAACAAGAAAAGCUAAAGAAUCAUAGUUGCUAGAUGAAUGAACUUGAAGGAUGAAUAAUAUCUCAGUAAAGGUGUUGGAAAAACAAAAUGGGCAAAAUGAAGUAGAAGUUAGAUACAACUGUUAGGAACGUUUAGUGGGGAGCUGGAGAGAUAGUUUAACAGGGCACUUGCUUUUGUAGAGGUACCCACAUGGCAGCUAAAAACCAUCUGUACCUCCAGUUCUAGGCAGUCUGAUGUCUUCUUGUGACCUCCAAGGGCAAGCACACACUCCUGGCAAGCAGAACACCCAUACACAUUUAAAACAACAACAACAAUACAACAAAACUUUUAAAAUAAAGUUUAGUGGUUAGCUGGUCAUGCAGUAGGCACUGAGCUCAGCCACUGCCCUCUGUACCGUCAGUGGCCAGUUGUGUCAUAUCCUGAGGAGAUGUCUGUCCACAACAACAUGCCAGUUGGAAGAAGUGGCCAGCAUGAACCUUGAGCUGGCAGUGAUGACACUGAAAGAGCCUGAGAGAGGGCACAGCUGGUGGAAGACGGGCAGUAGUAGUGUGUGUCUUGCUACCGUGUGGAGGUGGUAGUGAUGCCUGUACAUGUUGUGCAUUGGACAGAGCUUUUUACUUAGAACAAGAGAAACACCAAGAAGAGCAGAACCGUAUUGACCAGGCACUUGGGACUGCAGGUGGGCUGUGUUACCUGCGUACCGAGUGUGAGCCUCACUCAUGUGAGUUGUCACUGGUGCAUUAAGACUUGGCUUAGGUUGGAUCACUGCGUUGAGUCAAGGAUGACCACACGAGACUGGCUGUGGUGCCUUUUGGUGUCAUGCCAUGCCACCUUUAGCAGAGUGUACUACGCUGCAUUGUGCGCUGUCUGUGUUACUCUGCUUGGGUUUUCUCAAAUGGACUGCUGGCAUAGAACAGGUCUGUGAGACCAGUGAGUUAAAGAUGGACAUGAAGCAGGGCCUAGGAAAAAGGAGCCGUGAUGUCGAUGGCUCUCCUUUCAUCUUGAUCUUCAUCAGCCACACUGUAUUAUGGCUUUCUAGAAUUAGACAAGAAAUGCAGUUUUUUAAAGAAGUACACUUGAAGUAGGGGUUAGAUGGUUGCUAUCUGUGUGGGUUGUGUGACCAUACCUGGGGGAGAAGCUUUGUGUAGCACAGAGCUUCUGUGAUUGGUAGAGAUGGGAUUGUAUGCCUCUCUAGGGCAUAGCCUCCUCCUCAGAAGGUAAGGUUGACGUCUUAGCAAAUGCUUAGAAUGCUUAUUCUGAGGCUUUUUUUAAGAUUAUUAAUUUUAUGCGAAUGAAUGUUUGCCUGCAUACAUGUAUAUCCCUGUGGAGGUCAGAAGAGGGCAUUGGAUCCGUUGGAACUGGAAUUAGAGAGGCUGUGAGCCACCAAAUGAGUGACAGGAACUAAACUCAGGUCCUCUGGAAGAAGAGGUGGAAGAGCAAGCUGCUGCUUUCAGGGCUCAGCAGAUCAUGUGCGCUUGACUGGGCUACACUGAGGAUGUCUGGUGAGUCCAGCAGCUAACCAGAGAGAGCCUGGCUUUAAUUAAGAGUUAUCACAUGGGGCUGGGGGCUGGGGCAACGGCUCAGAGGUUAAGAGCAGCUGUCACUACAGAACACCUAAGUUCAGUUUCCGACACCCACAUGGUGGCUCACAGCCAUCAGUGGACAUGCCCGUGGUGCGUGCAGGCAAAACACUAAUACACAUAAACAAAUCUUUGGUUCAUUUUUUUUUUUUUUUGAGACUCUGUAGCCCUGUAGCCCUGACUGUCCUUGAAUUUGUUCUGUAGACCAGGCUAGCCUCCAGCUCAUCCUCCUGUCUCCCAAAUGCUUAGAAUAAAUAGAUCUUUUAUUAAAAAAAAAAAAAGUAAAAAAAUUGUCACUGACUCCUGCUGCUACCCAGACAUGUUGAGAGAUACCAAGUAUAUCUAUUAAGUGUAAAAUAUUUUAGAUAUUUAGCUCAAGCAGAUAAAAUAAGACUAAAUUGAAACUCAUAUAGUCUUCUAAAGAGUCCUCCAAAUACAAACUAAGAAUUGAUUCAAAUGGAUAAGAAAGAGUAGGGCCUUUCUGUAGAGAGCUGAUGGGGGUACAAACAGAUGUCAGAGAGGAAAAUGUAUUGAGUUGAAAUAUUUUUUAUACAUUAAAAGCAAUAACUGUAAUGACCCUGUAACACUCAAAGACAGUUGUUUAAAACUUUCCAAUUGCCUGGAAGAGUCCAAUAUUGGAUAGCCUUACUGGUGAAUCCUACUAGAUAAUUUUAAAGGGGGUCAUCAACUCUACACAGACUUUCCUAAGAAAUGAGGAAGAGGGGCCACUUUUUUUUUUAAAGAUUUAUUUAUUUUAUGCAUAAGAGUACACUGUAGCUAUUUUCAGACACACCAGAAGAGAGCAUCAGAUCCCAUUACAGAUGGUUGUGAGCCACCAUGUGGUUGCUGGGAAUUGAAUUCAGGACCUCUGGAAGAGCAGUCAGAGUGCUCUUAACCACUGAGCCAUCUCUCCAGCCCCGAGGGGUCACUUUUUACCUCAUUUUUGUGAGCUUAGUAUUAUCCAUAGCAAAAUCAGACAGUAACACAUGGAAACUGUAGACCCGUGUUUUUAUAAAUGACUACAUGCUGAAGCCCUCAGCAGUGUCUACAUCUAAGCAAGGCGGUAAUCCGAGCACUUGGGAAGUGGAGAUCCAAAAAUCAGACUGUGAAGUCUGAAGUUAGUCUGAACUGACACGCCUCAAAACACCAAGUGAAAAUUACCCCAGGAAUGCAAAUUUUGUUCAACUUGUGGAAGUCAGUAUAAUUCACAUAUUAUUGGAAUAAAGGACAAAGACCACAUGACCAACUAAAUAAAUAUAGAAAAAGCACUUGACAAAGUAAUACCUAUUAAAGAUAAAAA